GACGAACGCUGGCGGCGUGCCUAAUACAUGCAAGUAGAACGCUGAAGCGAGGAGCUUGCUCUUCUUGGAUGAGUUGCGAACGGGUGAGUAACGCGUAGGUAACCUGCCUGGUAGCGGGGGAUAACUAUUGGAAACGAUAGCUAAUACCGCAUAAAAUGGAUUAUCGCAUGAUAAUCCAUUGAAAGGUGCAAAUGCAUCACUACCAGAUGGACCUGCGUUGUAUUAGCUAGUUGGUGGGGUAACGGCUCACCAAGGCGACGAUACAUAGCCGACCUGAGAGGGUGAUCGGCCAAACUGGGACUGAGACACGGCCCAGACUCCUACGGGAGGCAGCAGUAGGGAAUCUUCGGCAAUGGACGGAAGUCUGACCGAGCAACGCCGCGUGAGUGAAGAAGGUUUUCGGAUCGUAAAGCUCUGUUGUAAGAGAAGAACGAGUGUGAGAGUGGAAAGUUCACACUGUGACGGUAUCUUACCAGAAAGAGACGGCUAACUACGUG
rnacentral:rRNA from 1 species